rnacentral:rRNA from 1 species
CUGCUGCCUCCCGUAGGAGUCUGGUCCGUGUCUCAGUACCAGUGUGGGGGGCCUUCCUCUCAGAACCCCUACGCAUCGUCGCCUCGGUGGGCCGUUACCCCGCCGACUAGCUAAUGCGCCGCAUGCCCAUCCGUGGCCGGGAUUGCUCCCUUUGGCGGCCUUGGGGUGCCCCAAGGCCGCGUUACGCGGUAUUAGACGGGGUUUCCCCCGCUUAUCCCCCUGCCACGGGCAGGUUGCAUACGUGUUACUCACCCGUGCGCCGGUCGCCGGCAACGG